CCGGUCGUGGUGUAUCCAGCAGCAUUCUACCCUGUGAAGGUAGCGGAGCGGGCGCAAAUCCCGUCGACCGGACCA
rnacentral:tRNA from 1 species